rnacentral:tRNA from 1 species
UGGGGGAUUAGCUCAGUUGGGAGAGCGACUGGCUGGCAGCCAGUAGGUCAUCGGUUCAAGUCCGUUAUCCUCCAU